GUUUAUGUUAAGACUGGCAGCGGACCGCGGUUCUCAUGUUUACUGCUUGAGAGGAGCACGCCAGCUGGAACGUGUCUAUGAGACAGCCAAAACACUAAGCAUUCAGUGUGAAAAAAAAGGUCUGGUAUCUGGAAAAUAUUGAAGCAGAAAAAGAUCAUAUGCCUUUAAGAUUAAUUUUGUAAUGUAA